GUUUGAAAUUAGCAAACCUGGUGUCUAAAUAAUGAAAUAAGAUUGGAGGUGUGGGUUAAAGCUACUUUGACGUAUACAAAGCACUCAAACUUUUUGAGUUUGCUAUUCACAAAAAGCACCUGUUGAUGUGGACAAUGUCUUGCAAAAGAGAGUCCUCAGAUGUUCUGCAAUCAAGAAUGGUUAAGUUUUAUAAUGCUGGAAAAGGUUACAAUGUUAUCUCAACUAG